rnacentral:rRNA from 1 species
AGAGUUUGAUCAUGGCUCAGAAUGAACGCUAGCGGCGUGCUUAACACAUGCAAGUCGUACGAGAACUCUUUAGCUUGCUAAAGAUAGUAAAGUGGCGCACGGGUGAGUAACGCGUGGGUAAUCUACCUCUGAAUUUGGGAUAACUCCGCGAAAGCGGGGCUAAUACCGGAUAAUAUUUCAGGAUCUUCGGGUCUUGAAAUCAAAGGUGGCUUCUACAUGUAAGCUACUGUUUGGAGAUGAGCCCGCGUACCAUUAGCUUGUUGGUAGGGUAAUGGCCUAUCAAGGCUACGAUGGUUAGCUGGUCUGAGAGGAUGAUCAGCCACACUGGAACUGACACACGGUCCAGACUCCUACGGGAGGCAGC